rnacentral:lncRNA from 1 species
UCGGGGGAUAAGGUUUCGGGGCCACCUGCCAGCGACCCAGUCGGAACCUUACUUAAAUCCCGGCGGCAAGGGUUUUUCGUUACGCCCGCCGGAUCUUUUGCCAUUGCUUCGUCCUCCUCGCCUCCUCCAGCGCACCUAACCUCCCCACUCCUCCUCUCUCUCCGCGAACUCGCAACUUACGCCAUGACCAAGGGUCAAACCAGCAAGAUGGAGGCGAGGAAGAAGAAGGGGAAGGCGGCGGCUCCUGCUCAGCGG